GCUCAGAACGAACGCUGGCGGCGUGCUUAAUACAUGCAAGUCGUGCGAGAAAGUACCCUUCGGGGUGCGAGUAGAGCGGCAAACGGGUGAGUAACACGUAAGUAACCUACCUCUAAAUCUGGAAUAACUCUGCCAACGCGGAGCUAAUACCGGAUGUGGUCACGAUGCUGCAUGGUAUUGUGACUAAAGGUGACCUCUCCUUGGAAGUUACCGUUUAGAGAUGGGCUUGCGGACCAUUAGCUAGUUGGUGAGGUAACGGCUCACCAAGGCUACGAUGGAUAGCCGGCCUAAGAGGGUGAUCGGCCACAUUGGGACUGAGAUACGGCCCAGACUCCUACGGGAGGCAGCAGUAGGGAAUUUUGCGCAAUGGACGAAAGUCUGACGCAGCAACGCCGCGUGAGGGAUGACGGCCUUCGGGUUGUAAACCUCUGUUGAGUGGGAAGAAAAGCUUUGUGGUUAAUAUCCACAGAGUCUGACGGUACCACUCGAGGAAGCUCCGGCUAACUACGUGCCAGCAGCCGCGGUAAUACGUAGGGGGCUAGCGUUGUUCGGAAUCACUGGGCGUAAAGGGAGUGUAGGCGGACCGGUAAGUUAGGAGUUAAAUGUACGGGCUCAACCCGUGAUCUGCUUUUAAUACUGUCGGUCUUGAGUAUGGGAGAGGGAGAUGGAGUUCCAGGUGUAGCGGUGGAAUGCGUAGAUAUCUGGAAGAACACCAGUUGCGAAGGCGGUCUCCUGGACCAAUACUGACGCUGAUGCUCGAAAGCUGGGCGGAGCUGAACCAGGGAUUUAGAUUACCCUGGGUAAGUCCCCAGCCCGUAAACCGGUGGACACUAAGUUGCCGGAGGAGUCAAUCCCUUCGGUGACGAAGCUAACGCAUUACGUGUCCCGNCUGGGGAGUACGCUCGCAA
rnacentral:rRNA from 1 species